rnacentral:sRNA from 1 species
AGGCCACAGAAACAGAUGACCUGCCCUAUAGACAACAAGGUCUGAAAAAGGAACUUUACUAUGUUGGGGUUUGUCCCUGUGAUGGAACGUCUUAAGCUUAAGUUUAGUUGAACACCUAGUCAAGGCAUGCCCCUCCUCCCAUUCACUCGAUCGACAUAGACAUAUGAUGGACGGGACCGUUCCCCUCCCUCAUGUCAUGACCGACUGUAAGUACCUCCUUCUCCACAGUCUCCUCAACUAUGGACCACUUCAAAGGCACGCUUCAGUGACUGCAUACCAGUUCAAGUAAAAAAAGAGGCGCCAAUGACAAGCCAAGAUUUUUUCCCCUGGUCCUUCAAUUCACAAGUGGACAUAAGAUACUCAUUUAGGUCUGAACUCUAAGAGCAGGGCCAGGAGAGCUGCAUCGAGAACUUUGUCAAGGAGCAAAAAGGACUAUCAAAAUAUUCAAAAUCAUUUGUGAAUAAAAUGUACCACAAUGGC